UUAUAUUCUGUAGACUAUAAAAUGAAAAAAUAGUUUUACCUUAGAUCUGUUAUUGGAAAAUAUAUAUCCGAUAAAUAAGAAAAUAAUUAGUCCGGAUAUUGAAAUCAAUCUAUUUCUGUUGUCUUUAGUAUCGAUUGCUAAAUAUAUAGCGAUUGCCGAAAAUGUAGAUAAGUAAAAUAUCUUAUCGGAAAACCUAUAAGAAAAAUAAAUUUAAAAUAUAAUUUAAAUAUAAAUUUAAAUCAGCUGUAAUAUGUAAUUAUUUAAAUUGUUAACGUUUUACACGUUGAUAUGGAACGAGAAGUAGAAAAACAUGUCACUUCAGUUGUAAUUAAACAGAACUUUGACAACAGCGCAACUUUUAUAUGAUUGAGUUGAUAUCGACUUCCUUCCUGUGAUCAAUUAAUGGCUGACUACCUUCUUAUUAUUUGCAAUCCAGUACUUUUAUUAACGGCGUUAUUCAAUUUACAUUUAAACAGAUUUAUGGAGUUUUUAAAAAUUGGAUAGAACAAUGGUCUCACGAAAUAAACGUUCAGCUAUGGAUAUUACCUAAGUAUGAAAAGGUCGUUAUCUGGAAGUAAGAGCAAUUCUUUCUUCUUCAAAUGCCAUUUACCUUAUCAAGAAAUGAUGCGUAAUACUCUACUGUUAUUAUUUACCUUUUUGAAGAUAGUCGUUGAACUUAAUCCCACGACUAUCCCAAGCAAACGAUCGCCAUCACUUUUUAGCUAUUAAAAACGUCUUCGCCUUUUCGGAACAGGAUAUUAUGCAAGAGGUCUCAAUUCAGUACAUUUCGGCCAUUUUUUUAAAACCUUUUGUGUUACACAACAUGAGUCUUUAGGCCGGCUACAAUGGAAUUUUAUAAUUAAUGGAAUUCGCGCGGCGCCUUUCAUCUGUUUUUAAAUGACGGACGCGCCUUUGAUAUUUGGUUCUAGAACGUUUUAUUAUAGCAGGCGGCUUAUUUACAGUAAAUUUUAAACAAUUUCUAGGAAAGUCUAUUUAUUUAUUUCUUGCGCUGCUUUUUGUUCUAGAACUUUGUGGAAUUCUAUUUGUGGUAUAUAAAUAAGUUUAUGUAGCGCAGUAAGUUACUUUUGACUAGUCAUAGUGAGAAGAUUGAAUUAUUAAAAAUAAUUGUUUAAAUGAUGUUUAUAAGUAAAUUAUUGUAAAUUAAGUGUAUUGUAUAGUGUGUAAAUAAAUUAAGAACGAGUGUUUAUACACUAUAAUUUUU